GAGUGGACUCCUACGGGAGGCAGCAGUGGGGAAUUUUGGACAAUGGGCGCAAGCCUGAUCCAGCCAUGCCGCGUGUCUGAAGAAGGCCUUCGGGUUGUAAAGUUCUUUCGGUAGCGAGGAAGGCAUUUAGUUUAAUAGACUAGGUGAUUGACGUUAACUACAGAAGAAGCACCGGCUAACUCCGUGCCAGCAGCCGCGGUAAUACGGAGGGUGCGAGCGUUAAUCGGAAUAACUGGGCGUAAAGGGCACGCAGGCGGUGACUUAAGUGAGGUGUGAAAGCCCCGGGCUUAACCUGGGAAUUGCAUUUCAUACUGGGUCGCUAGAGUACUUUAGGGAGGGGUAGAAUUCCACGUGUAGCGGUGAAAUGCGUAGAGAUGUGGAGGAAUACCGAAGGCGAAGGCAGCCCCUUGGGAAUGUACUGACGCUCAUGUGCGAAAGCGUGGGGAGCAAACAGGAUUAGAUACCCUUGUAGUCCGA
rnacentral:rRNA from 1 species